UAACGCGUGGAGAACCUGCCGUAUACUGGGGGAUAACACUUAGAAAUAGGUGCUAAUACCGCAUAAGCGCACAGCUUCGCAUGAAGCAGUGUGAAAAACUCCGGUGGUAUACGAUGGAUCCGCGUCUGAUUAGCUUGUUGGCGGGGUAAAGGCCCACCAAGGCGACGAUCAGUAGCCGGCCUGAGAGGGUGAACGGCCACAUUGGGACUGAGACACGGCCCAAACUCCUACGGGAGGCAGCAGUGGGGAAUAUUGCACAAUGGGGGAAACCCUGAUGCAGCGACGCCGCGUGAGUGAAGAAGUAUUUCGGUACGUAAAGCUCUAUCAGCAGGGAAGAAAAUGACGGUACCUGACUAAGAAGCCCCGGCUAACUACGUGCCAGCAGCCGCGGUAAUACGUAGGGGGCAAGCGUUAUCCGGAUUUACUGGGUGUAAAGGGAGCGUAGACGGCAGCGCAAGUCUGGAGUGAAAUCCCAUGGCUUAACCAUGGAACUGCUUUGGAAACUGUGCAGCUGGAGUGCAGGAGAGGUAAGCGGAAUUCCUAGUGUAGCGGUGAAAUGCGUAGAUAUUAGGAGGAACACCAGUGGCGAACGCGNNUUACUGGACUGUNACUGANGUUGAGGCUCGAAAAGCGUGNGGAGCAAACAG
rnacentral:rRNA from 1 species